rnacentral:rRNA from 1 species
AAAGGAAUAGACGGGGGCCCGCACAAGCAGCGGAGCAUGUGGUUUAAUUCGAAGCAACGCGAAGAACCUUACCAGGGCUUGACAUGGCCGUGACAUGUUUAGAGAUAAACAGUUCUUUCGGGACAUGGUCACAGGUGGUGCAUGGUUGUCGUCAGCUCGUGUCGUGAGAUGUUGGGUUAAGUCCCGCAACGAGCGCAACCCCUAUCACUAGUUGCUAACACGUAGUGGUGAGCACUCUAGCGAGACUGCCGGGGACAACUCGGAGGAAGGUGGGGAUGACGUCAAAUCAUCAUGCCCCUUAUGUCCUGGGCUACACACGUGCUACAAUGGCCGGAACAGAGGGCAGCGAAGGAGCAAUCCGGAGCAAAUCCCAAAAACCCGGUCUCAGUUCGGAUUGUGGGCUGCAACCCGCCCACAUGAAGUCGGAGUUGCUAGUAAUCGCGGAUCAGCCAUGCCGCGGUGAAUGCGUUCCCGGGCCUUGUACACACCGCCCGU